rnacentral:rRNA from 1 species
UACGGAGGGGCUAGCGUUGUUCGGAAUUACUGGGCGUAAAGCGCACGUAGGCGGCUUUGUAAGUUAGAGGUGAAAGCCCGGGGCUCAACUCCGGAAUUGCCUUUAAGACUGCAUCGCUAGAAUUGUGGAGAGGUAAGUGGAAUUCCGAGUGUAGAGGUGAAAUUCGUAGAUAUUCGGAAGAACACCAGUGGCGAAGGCGACUGACUGGACAAGUAUUGACGCUGAGGUGCGAAAGCGUGGGAGCAAACAGG